UCUACAAAAAUAUUUCUAAAUUUAUUUAAUAAAUUUCUGAAAAAUAUCAUGCAUAAUUUCUUACUUUAUUAAGAAUCUUAAAGUUCAACCAUUUGGCCAGAAAAACAUUUCACAGCUCUCAAGUGCUGAUACGUUAGGCAUUUGUUGGCUUUUAUCUUUCGGCCCACCUUCUGGUCGUAUAUCAAUGAUGGAGGAUCCCAUAAAGUUCUCUCCCAGCUCAUUGUCUGACUAAUUAAAUGAUUUAUCCCGAAACGUGAGGCAGUCCCCGGCCAGAAAGCGCAGAAGAGCAAGGAAAAAAUAAAAAACCAAUUACAAUUACCUCACCCAGAGGUGCCACACUCACAGAUACAGAUACAGAUACAAACUGCAUCUGCGGCAGCAGCCACUUCACCCAUCGACAGGGAUACCUUAUCUAGAUGCAUACAAAUCCAGGCAAGCGCACGUCAAUUUAUUUGCCAGCCUCGGUUCGACUCCUUUCGGCCCAAGCUCCAUUCAUGGCCAGAGGAAGAAGAGGAACAAACUGAUCAGGGGGAGGAAAGGGGAUGAGGUCCAAGAGGGGCUGGAUCGAACACACAUAUAUCCGAGUAUAUUUACCUAUGAGAAGGCAACGAUGUUGGCGCUGCAUGUUUUAUGCCUCCUCUUGCAUCUUUAACGAGGUGUUUAUUUUCACAACUCACAGCCGGCGGAUGAGGAUGACCAGAUACAGAUGCAGAUACACCUACCCAGACACAGAUACAUCCAUGUGUGUGAGAGUGCGCCAGCGGUUGCAGCUCGCCGAAGGUGAAGAAACCAAGUUGCCGCCCAUUUUCAUGUACAAAUACUUUCGACCAACAUGAUGCAGAUGCCAAUUCGAGCCAAUUCAGAAUGGUGGAAGCCCCAAAACGGGGUAGAGGUGUUUUUUUUGUUGGCCAAAGGACUGAUGAUUGAAGGGGCCACGGCAAGGGGGCAGGACAGCCGGGCACUGACGACGGGGCGUCUAAGCUAUAUAAGAGAUGACGUUGACGCCAGAGCACAGUGAUUCAUGUAAAUAAUAAAAUUUAGUAACUCAUUCUUCC
rnacentral:sRNA from 1 species